CCGCCGCCCGCUCCGCUCCUUUCUCCGCCUCUUCUUUUUUCUCUCCUUGUCGUUCUUCUCUCCUUCGUUCUUUGCGUUCCGCUCUCUUUUCCUCUUUCUUUUUCUCUCUUCUCUCUUCUUCUUCAUUUUUGUCUUUUUUCCUCUUUCUCAUUUUAAUUCCUUUCCCCUUUCUGUUGCUUUUUCCCCUCCUUUUCAUUUAUCUCCUUUUUCCACUUUUUUGUUCUUCUCUCCUUUGCUCUUUGUGUUCUGCUCUCUUUUACUCUUUCCUUUUCUUUCUUCUCUCUUCUUCUAAGUUUUUAUUCUUUUUCCUCUUUCUCAUUUUAUCUCCUUUCCCCCUUCUAUUUCUUUUACCCCUCCUUUUCACUUAUCUCCUUUUUCCACUUUUUUGUUCUUCUCUCCUUUCCUCUUUGCGUUCUUCUCUCUUUUCCUCUUCCUUUUUCUCUCUCCUUUCUUCUUCUUCAUUUCUGUCUUUUUUUCCUCUUCUUCAUUUUAUCUCCUUUCCCUUUUCUGUUUCUUUUUCCCCUUCUUUUCACUUAUCUCCUUUUUCCACUUUUUAAUUCUUCUCUCCUUUCCUCUUUGCAUUUCUCUCUCUUUUCCUCUUUCCUUUUCUCUCUUCUCUCUUCUUCUCCAUUUUUGUCUUUUUUCCUCUUUUUCAUUUUAUCUCCUUUCCUUUUUCUGUUUCUUUUUCCCCUUCUUCCCACUUAUCUCUUUUUCCACUUUUUCGUUUUCCUCUCCUUUGCUCUUUGCUUUCUGCUCUCUUUUCCUCUUUCUUUUUCUUUCUUCUCUCUUCUUCUAAGAUUUUAUUCUUUUUCCUCUUUCUCAUUUUAUCUCAUUUCCCUUUUCUGUUUCUUUUUCCCCUCCUUUUCACUUAUCUCCUUUUUCCACUUUUUUGUUCUUCUCUCCUUUCCUCUUUGCAUUCUGCUCUCUUUUCCUCUUCCCUUUUCUCUCUCAUUUCUUCUUCUUCAUGUCUGUCUUUUUUCCUCUUCUUCAUUUUAUCUCCUUUCCUUUUUCUGUUUCUUUUUUCCCUUCUUCCCACUUAUCUCUUUUUUCCACUUUUUCAUUUUUCUCUCCUUUGCUCUUUGCUUUCUGCUCUCUUUUCCUCUUUCUUUUUCUCUCUUCUCUCUUCUUCUAAGUUUUUAUUCUUUUUCCUCUUUUUCAUUUUAUCCCUUUUCCUUUUUCUGUUUCUUUUUCCCCUCCUUUUCACUCCUUUUUCCACUUUUUCAUUUUUCUCUUUCUUUUCCUCUCC
rnacentral:lncRNA from 1 species